GUCAUUUUUGCUGGUAUAAAAAGAAAGGGUGCUUAGGAAAUCUUAUGUCACAUAAGCUUUUUGGGUGCUUUGGUGUUCAUCGCCUGCUAUAUUCAGUAAAUUUUUUUUUGUGAAGUCAGUUACUACCUGACAACAUGAAGACCUUAGUCGCUAUCUUUUUCCUUUUCUUUGCUCUCCUCUCAGCAGUUUCAGCAUUACCCUACUACUACGGGGGUUAUUAUGGAGGAGGAUACCCAUAUGACUACUACAGCUACUACAAUUACCCAACAACUUAUGGUGCAUACGCCUCUCCCUACUUCCUCUACAAAAGAUAAGGCAGUAUAAAAUUCACCUCAAAGAUCUAAAGAAAUGAAGAACAUUCCAUUUUGAAGAACAAAAUCAUUUUACAAUUUGCUUUAAAGAGCCUAUAUGGUUGAAGAAUAAACAAAUAGAGUAAUAAUAAAAGCAUACAAAUAACGCUUUUUUUGUAAAAAAUUUUGCUUGUUUUUACGCUUUUUCGUUAAAAUUUUGUUUGUUUUAUCACAUAUUAAUCCUUUGAAAUAUUCAUGGUGUAUUUUAGUAAGUAAAUUCAAUAAAACAUUAUGUGACCCAAAA